CAAAGGAGUAGUGGGACAUUCAAGGUAUUCACUUUUUCUAAUUAUAAGGAAAACCACAGGAAUCUAGCAUCAAGCACAUGACCGGCAGCUGCAAAAGAUCAGCUAAACAUUUAAAGAUCUUUCACCUGCUCCUACACGUGUGGCAAUUCAGAAGAAAAUGCCACUGGAUUCAGGCUUCCUCUAGAGAGGGCCAAAGACUUCGAAACCAAUGAACAGCAAAAACUUCUGGUGACCAGAGCAUUUCUUAAUAUUUCCCUUUUUUUUUAAAGUUAAUGUAAACAGGUCAGUGAACAGACACCUGGAAUGGCCUCUAAGCACAGAGGGAGAGUUCAAAUAAUUGAUGCGUGUUAAUCUGAAUUACUCUUCAGUGACCUCAGAACUGGAGGCGACUAUGGUUUAUGACAUUCCCUUGAGAAGUGUCUCGUUUCAUUCAGUGACAUUUUGAACACACACGUGUUCCCUGUCUGCAGCACCCAGGUGCUCUUCACCUAAGAUACCCCGUCUUCUGCUAAACCAGUACACCAGUUUCCACGAGCAGUUUCCCGAGGCUUCUGCACUCCUCAGCAUGCUCUCAGAUUGUUUCCCCUGCCGGAGAACUAGCACCGUGUUCUUCAGUACCAGCAUGGUCUCCUGGCCAGCCCCUAGGUGCAAUCCUCCAACACGGUGACACUCAGCAACCUAGGGCCAAGUUUACCCACUUGUCUCCCUAUACACAAUGCUCCUGCACCUGCUCACCUACCAGGGGCCGUCCCGCCCCAGCAGCCUACCCUGUCUGCCACAGCUCUGCUUCCUGGCGUUCCCACCUCCGCCUCAAGCUUUGCCUUUCCUCUCAAGCUCCCCGCCCUGCUCUAAUCUUGCCCUUCCUUGGCUCAGCUCCAGUUCCACCUCCCCCAAUACUCCCCCUGUGGCCUCUCUAACCCAUACACCUUCCCUGAAGGCCUGCGACACCAAUAAAUGAAAGGGCACAUUGAUACUGGUUGUUCUCUGAUGCCUUCAAGUAUUUCUCUUGCCUCCACAGGAAGAUCUUUAACUCUUUUUCCAGAUCUCACGAAGCCAGGCAGAUUGGCGGGGACAUGGAGCCAUCAGCCAACAUCGGAGCAACCAAAUUAGAAAGCUCUAAAACCAAAAGUGGAUUUUACAAAUCUGGUGCAUAAUUGACUUGAACCCCACAAGGGCAGACACACUGUAAGCUGGAAUAUUCACAAGACGGGGCAACGUGCAAGGCUGGAGACAGUGUCUAUGGAGAUGAGGCAAUGAGAUGUGUGGACAACUGGAAGCCUGUGAAAGAAGAGACCUGUGCAGCCAAACAAGGUUUGGGAACCAGCACAGUAGCUGCUUGGAUAGAGGAAAUUUUUCAGAGGCUUGUCGGCUGGGAAGGAUCAGGUGAGGCAAAGAAUCUAAAAGGAUUACUUGUCAAGGACCCGGCUCCAUCAAUUACAAUAGAAGAAAACCUGUUUAGCGAAAACUACCUUAUUGUGGGGAAAAAAUGACUUUGGAACAUUCGAAAUACCUUGACCUAUGAUGCAAUGUCCUCCAAGGAGACUGAGCUAGCAAUUCUUCACUGGCAAUGAAGUCACCCAUCGCCUUACUGAGGGUACAGGUGUUACCCUUUAACAGGCAUCUACAAACAGACAAAUCACCUCUGGGUAAAAAGGUUGUUCCAGUGAGUGAACAAAAAUGGUACCAAAGGAUUUAUGAACAGACUCUAAGACACUCUGGAAAAUGAACUACCGCCGAUUAGAAGAGAAAAUGACUUCCUUGCAGCAUCCUCAGAUUUAACUCCCACAAGGUACUUGCCAAACCCCUCCUCUCCUGAUUCUUUUCUCCUUUCUCAGAGCUGUCUGCAGCCAUCAAUUUUGCAUUUCGCCAUCAUAUACUGGUUUUAUAACCUGGUUUUAGGUGCCCAUUUCCCUUGUACAUUUUGUCAGGGUGCAGACCACGUCUUGGUCUUGGGAAGCCUUAGAGAACACAAAGCAGUGCCAGGCAAUCCAGGAGUCAUCAGGACUGCCACUGCCACAAGAAAUAGCAUCAGCAUGGAGAGCCACUGCCUCUACAAAUUGAGGAGGGAAAAAAAAUCUGAAGACCCCAACAUAUUCUUACAAAACCUGCACACAGUUUUGGAUUCUCAUCCUCUCCCGUUUUGAGCCACAAGCAUCUCUAAUCCACUUUAUUCACCCAACUAGCAUUUACUGAGCUUCUCCUUAUGUACAAAGGCAUACCACAGAUGCUGAAUUAUACAGGCAGACAAGCAGUCCCUAACCCAAAGAUGCCCAGAGUAUAAUGCAGAAGACAGGCAAAGACAAACAAGGUGGUGUUUGCUGUAAUAUGGUUAUGUCAAGGAGCUUUCAGACCCAGAAAAAGGAGUUUUCAGAGUUACCAGUGUCAGGAGCGAAAGACAGGUGGGAGUGCAGCAACAGGAAAGGGAAGAAAUUAUUGCCAGUUUCAAGGAAAAAGCCUCUGGUCGAGAAAGUAUCAAAACUGAAAGAAAAGAAACAGGAGAGCAUGUGGCCAUUUUCAGAGCCACAGUAGUUGUUGGAUUUUGUUGGAGAACAGGGUCAAAUGCAGAAAGCAGGUGCAUGAUGUAGGGUAAAGAACUUUGUAUCUAAUGUAAAGGCAUAUGAAUUUACUCUGCAGACACUGGGAAGGUAUUGCAGGGAUUAAGCAGGGAAGUGAUACGAUCUGGAGAACAGCUUCAAAAGAUAUUCAGUUAUGACAGUCAUUAGAACUCAGUGAACAAAGGUGAAGGGUGAGAGAGAAACUUAAGAUGAGCCUCAGGUUCAUGGCUUAGGAACUGGGUGUAUGGUAGAAUCAUUAACUGAAAUAGGGAAUAAAAAAACAAGGAGCAUACUGGGUGAGGGAGAUAAUAAGACCGGUUGUAGGCAUGUUGGGUUUGGGGUGUCAAUAAAAAAUCCACGUGGCAGUAUCUAAGGGAGAGUUGCUUAUACAACCCUAGAGCUCAGAAGAGAAGCCUGGGAUAGUUUUAUUGAUCUGAAAGUCACGCACAGAGAGUUGAAGUCACAGCACUGGAUGGAGAGAGCAAGGAAGAAGAUGCGGAAAAGUAAAAGAACGUUGAGGGAUCUCCCGGCCAAGAGAGCUGGCUUUUCUUUAAAGCAAUAUUGUUGUUGUUUUGUUGUUUUAAAUACAACACAGUGUUCUUUUGCAAAUAUUUAGGAUUCCUGAACAAACAUCAAUUCUCAUAAAAACUGACCACAAUUGGUCAAGAGGACAUGUCUUUGGUGAUAGCUACCACAUUUCACUUAAUCUGAUUUUUUAUGAGCCUGAGCACAUGAACAAGUGCUUUAUUUUCAGGACAGACUAAAAUCAUCUUCAAAGAUUGGCAGAAAAUUAGACCAAGAGGAGGAAACAAGAGCUUGAUAAUUCUACCAUUUCUAAUAAUUUA
rnacentral:lncRNA from 10 species